CUCAUUUUGCAAAUGAGGAAACCAAGUUACAGAGGAGCUGAGUGACUUGCCAAGGUCAUGAUGCCGGUCAGGAAUAGCGGCAGGAUUUGAACCUGAGCUGUGUGGUUACAGGGUUACACUGUGCUGUGGUGCAUCUAAGGAAGAGCCCCGAACUGUUGUCGUUGUUUAGGAGGACAGGUCCCAGGCCCGUGUCUGGUGCACACACAGCCAAACGAUCACUGAGCGCACACUCAGUGCCAGGCGCUGAAGGGACACAUGUUGCCCUGGUCUCAUGAGCUUUCCAGUCCAGCAAGAAGACAACUGAGGCGCGUCCUGUGCACACUGCUCCGGCUCUUUUCCUCUUACCUGUGCCUUCCAGGGUCGCUGCCAGCACACGUCUGGUCCGUCCACACGGUCCGGGACACUCCGUGUUCAGAGGCCCUGGCUGUGUCAGCCAGUCCCGCAGUGGCUUCUUCUGUCUCAGAGACCUGCAGGAAUGCGCCGGCACUUGCUGCGGGCCUGUCCUGAGGAGAGCCGCUGCGUCAUAGGGCAGGGCAUGUGUGCUUCUCAUGAAUCCUGUCGAGCUGCCCCCACUCGCACCACCACACAGGACAGUGCCUCUUGCCGUGCAGCUUUGCCAGCAAGACGUUCAUGACCUCCCAGCCAAAGCCCCCAACGUUGAGGGGCAGAGACAGGCCUCCUGCUGCAGCCCGUCUGGCUUCCUGGCCUGCAGACACCAUGGCAGGAUAGAAUGAGUUAUGCCACUGUGUUUCGAGGUGGCUCAUUACACAGCAAUAAAAUGUGGAAACAACCCUUCCUAGAAUCCGGCAGCAGACAUUGUCCACUUGCUGAGACAGAAGCUGGCCUCACAGUGCUCAGUGGCCCAAAAGCCCCAUCAUUGGCCCAAGUGCAGUCAGCCAGUGUCCCUCCAAGGUGCCCCUGGGGAGCCUCAGUCAUCCUGCCCCUCAACGUCCCCCCUUGGACGCGGGAAAGGCCCUGGGAGCAUGCGAGAGCGAUGCUCCUGGGGAGCCCUGAGCACAUGCCCACCACCUGCCAGAUAAAGCAAUGGCUGCAGUCGUCCAGCACGAGCCUGGGAAAGGCACAGAUUGCCCCCAGUUCAUCCUAGUGUUCUCCUCGUCAGGGCCCGGUAGCAGUCAGCAAGAGUAGGGAGCCCCGUCCACAGUCGUGGGGACUGUGGGAGGGGUGUCACUCGCUCGUCAUCACACCCUUGCUGAACACCUGCUCUGCGCCAGGCCCGGAAAAGCCCUGGAGAUAAGAAAGAAAGGGCCCAGACCCUGCCUGCCAGCAGCCGCGUGGCCACCCCUAAGUCAGGGGUCGGGGCAAACACACAGCAGGGGUGCACAAGGGGACCUGGGAAUUUCAGGUUUAGUACAAGGAGGGUCCUGGGCCAAGUUAGUCACGCCAGAGUGUGAUGAGGAAGGCAAAGAUGGUUUGAUUAUAGUUGUGCCUUUUUAUAGCCCAGUUUCCAGCACGUGCCGCCCUCAUGACAGGCCGGUGAGGUGGGUGAGACUGCCGUCAGUGUCUUGCUUUCACAAGCGGGGGCUGGGGCUGCCCAGGGAAAGGGGGAGGUUUAGGCUGUUCACGGGGCAUUGAAGCAGUCACUGCAUGGGCUUGCUAAGGCUGCCCUGACGACCACAGACUGGGGGCUUCACCCUCAGAAGUUUGUUUCCUCACAGUCUGGAGGCUGGAAGUCUGACAUCAGGUGCUGGCAGGGCGGGUUCCUUCCGAGGCCUCCCUCCUGGCGUGCAGACGGCCGCCUCCUCCCUGUGUCCUUGCAUGGUCGUCCACCUGCGCGCACACCCCUGGGGUGUCCGGAUCCCUUCUUGUGGGACACCAGUGAGAGUGGAUUAGCACCCACCCCAUGACCUCAUUUCAGCUUCCUCACCUCUGUAAAGACCCCGUCUCCAGAUGCAGUCACAUUCUGAGAUACUGGGGCUUAGCACCUCAACAGAUGGAUUUUCAGGGGACACAGUUCAGCCCAGAACACACUUUCCCAGUUUGGACAGAGGCCACAAAAUGAAUCAAGCCUCCACAUCACCCGCACCCUGGUGACUGUCAUGGACCUCCAGCCUACAAGGAGGUGGAGGUCGUGGGGAAAGAUUGGUUUGGGGCGAGGAUGCUUGCUCUGGGUCCCCUGGGUUGGGGCACAGUGGGAUGGUGGAUGGCCACAUGCAAAGGGGUCUGAAGGGGAAAGGCUGCCCUGGCACCUGAGGUGGCGGGACACAGAGAGCGAUGGGCCCCCUCAAGGAGGAUGGGCCACCAGAUGCCUAGGGGUCAAAAGAAAGGGAAGGCCGGCAGUCACAGGAAGCAGAAUCAGAAGUGCCUCGUGGUGGGGCCUCUUCAGAGAGCACAAAGGUGACGGUCAACCGUUGUGUUCACACCGGUCUGUGCACAGCCAUGCUUCAGCAGCACUGUUCAUUAUCACCAGAAGGCGGGACACCCCGAAUGCCCAUCCAUGGAUGAAAGGAGAGGCAAAAUGGGGCCCACUGCACAUGGAAUAUUAUCGAACCAUAAGAAGGAGUGAAGCCCUGACACACGCAACCACGUGGAUGAACCUGGAAAAUAGGAUGCCAAGUGAAACAAGCCAGACAUAAGAGGGAAAAUAGCACAUGAUGCCCUGUGUGUGAAAUGUCCACAAUAGGAAACGCACAGAGACAGGCAGUCGAUAGUGGUGCCAGCAGCAGGGAGGGUGGGGAGGGACCACUGAUGGGUCCAGGUUUCUUUCGGGGAUGAAGACAAUGUUCUGGAACCAGGUAUCGGUGAUGGUUGUGAAACAGUGUGAAGGUACUAAACGCCACUGCAUUGUACUCUUUAAAAUGGCUAAUUUUAUGUGAUGUGGAUUUCACCUCAAUUAAAAAACAGUGACCAUGAGAGUGAAAUCCAGCUUUAAACAUCUGCCUUAGCCCAAGAAAGAGUUCUGGGCCCCUCGCUCGCCUCCCUCCCCCACCCCGUCCCCCAAGAUGGCAGGCUGUGGAGAAUCACAAGCUGGCCGCCCCACGCACUCGCUCGCUUCUGUAAACCAUGUGCCAGGCGCCCUCUGCGGGGCCGAGAUGAAGGGGAGACGGACUCUGAGAGUCCCACAGUGUAGUUUUCCAGUAACCACAUUUUAAAAAGUAAAAAGAGACAGGUGAGUUUUAAUAAUGUAUUUUAUUUAACCCAGUGUAUCUAAAAAAUUAUCCUAUCAACAUGUAAUCAAUUUUUGAUUACAUGUUUAGAUUGAUUACAUUUAGAUUACGUUUUGAUUACGUUAGAGUUUAUGAAGGAGAUAUUUUACAUUCUUUUUUUUCCAUAUUGUCUUCAAAACCCAUUGUGUUCUUUCACACUUAGACGUGUCUCCAUCAGGACACUGAGCUUUCAUCAGGAACACUUGAUCUGUAUUUCGAUCUCAUUAAGUUUACGGUUGACAAGUAGAUUCACGUACCCCCAUUGUUCCAAACGUACUCAAAAAAAGAUUUCCAGUAACUGAAUUGAGUAUCGGUUUUAACAAUUGCAUUUAAAUAAGUUAAAAUGGAGUAAAAUUGAGGACUCACCAUUGGGUCACACUCCCCUCGUUCCUGGGCUCCGUGGUGCGUCACCCCUCAGGCGUCGGGCGGCGGCCCCAGCUCUGCCUCUGGAGCAGGAGGGACAUGAAAGCCAGGUGACGGGGUGCUUGACAACAGCAGCGGGCAGGGGUGCCCAAGGCGGGGCAGGCACGCAGCAGGAGUGGCUGUCUGCAAAGAGAGCAGACUCCGAGCCAGGACCUGGGAGCCCCCCGGGAGGACUCCCGCUCACGCAGCCGUCCUGCUCAGCGGCUCCUCCGGAACAUUCCUCGGUGGAGGGCAGGGCAGGCUGUCACCGCCCGCCGGGGAGGGCAAAGGAGCCGGCGGGACAGGAGCACAGGUCGCGUUGCUCAGGGUCAGUGCGUGUUGGACGCCUGCCAGCCGAGGCCCGUGCACCCCGGGAUGCACACGGGGCGCCCCGGGCUCGUGCACCCAAAGUCGUGGGGCUCGGAAGCAGAAAGGUGGGUUCGCACCCAUUUGCCUGACACAGACCCUGAAACCGUGGACUUCCGUAAAUUUCUCUCAAAUCUCAGAGCUGGGCAGAACCAGGUCAUCCUGGCCUCCUGGCUGAGGUUCCCUCUCCUGCCUCUCCCUCCCCUGAGGGCAGCUGCUCGCCUGAAGGAGGAGAGAAGGGGCAGUUGAGACUGAGUCUCUCUGUCUGAUUUGGUCUCAGGAUGGAGAUGGAAGAGCGCCUGGAACAAAAGAGGAGCUGGUGGGGAGGAGGCAGGCAAGGCGGCCUGGGCCCCCCGCCUGGAGAAGGAGAGCAAGCGGGAGAGGCCCGUCCCCACUGGACGGCUGCCGUGGGGGCGUCAGACUCACUCUGCGGGGCUGCAAGGGGGGCCCCAGGACCUGUGCUCUCAGCGUUAGUUCCCUGCGGCCGUAACAGAGGACGACAAACAGGCAGCUGAAAACGACAGACACUGAGCAGAAGUCUGAACACAGGUGCAGGCAGGGCUGCCACCCAGGGCUCCGGGGCAGUCCCGCCCGCCUCCUCCAGCUUCUGGAGACUGUGGCCUUCCGUGGCCGCGUCACUCCAGGCCCUGCCUCUGUGGCCACGUGGCCUCGUCUUCUGCCUCGACUCUCCCUCUGCCUCUCUCUUACAAGGACACUUGCUGGAUUGAGGGCUACCUGGGUAAUCCAGGACAACCUCCUCGUCUCAAGAUCCUUCACUUCAUUGCAUCUACGAGACCCCUUUUCCAAAGGAGGCGACACCCCCAGAUCCUAGGGGUUCAGACGUGGACAUGUCGUUUGGAGGAUCACCGUUCAACCGCUACAAAGUGAUGGGGGUAAAUCAUUAGCUCAGCAUGAAGAAAAGACUCUGCUGCGGCCACCGGGCAGGUGCCUGAGGCGGGAGUCCCUGCAGGCCGGCCCGGGUGGGCGGGGCUGGGGACUCGAGGUGCAGAGGACCCAGGGGAGGCUCCCAUGCUGCAGCCCAGGGAGGAGCAGCUGCCGCCUCUGACCCUGGCCCUGUGGCUCUCGUGUCUGUGUCUCUUUCUGUUGCCUGAAAGUUAAGGUCAGCUUUCGGUAGAAGGGGUCAACUUGCCAUCUCUCCAGCUCCUGUCUAGGGGUCACACCCCCUCAUCCCAGCCCGAGGCUCCCUGGUUCUCACUCCAGAAGUUUGCCUUACAGUUUGGGAUAGCCAGGACCAGAACUGUGCUGAUAGCGUCCACGUCACACCGAUGCACAGCAGCCCGAGUGGGGGGAUGGGAGCGGGUGGGUGGAGGCCGCCUCCGACCUGGACAUCUGUGGCUGACAAGCGGGAUCUAAGGGAGGAGAUGGAGGGGAGGGGUCUUCUGAGGAGCUUAGGGCUGAUGGGGUCCGGUGAGGAGACAGGUGAGGGGAGACAUGGGCCCACGAAAGGCUGAGGGAGGCCCAGUCGGCCCUGCCGCCCGCAGAUGAGGCCACUGCUCGGCCAUUAAGUGCACUGCUCCUGGUGGACGCUCUGCCUCGUCUGUUCCCGAGUGUUCUGGGCGGCGUCAGGCAGAACUGCUCUCCUCGGUGUAACUCCAGAUUAGCUUUCCACCCAUUCUGGGGCCAGGUGAGAGGGGUGCUGUAUGUGCGGGCUGCGCGCCUGGGAAACCUGAGGCCGAGGCUUGUCUCACACCCUCAGCCCGCAGAGGUCAAGUUGUGUUGGAAGGGGUCUGAUCUGCUACAUUUAACCUUUGUUUAUUCAGGAAAAAAAGUGUAGUUUUCUCCGAGAUUUGUCCACUCAACAGCCUCUUUCAGCCGACACCGAGAGCCAGCUGCGUGCGAGUCCCCCUUGUGUGAGGAGCCACAGGGCCAGCUCGCUGGGACCUCGGGGGUUCAGAGGGCCAGUGCCCCGGGAGCAGUGCUUGCCCCUUGUGGCCCGUGGGCGCCGCAGGGGCGCAGAGGGGCCUGUGCCCUGGGCUUGGGCUUGCCGUGCUGCCAUUUGUCACUGGGGAGCCAAGAGGGCACCAGCAGGGGCAGACUUGGGAGUCUGUAGCAGCACCCCUAGCCCUGCCCGCCCGUCAGGCCCAAGGAGAGGACCAUGAUCUCGUCCAGCAGGGCCGUUUCUGGCAGGCAGACCCUCCACCUAAAACACGUUGCCC
ensembl:lncRNA